GAUGAACGCUGGCGGCAUGCCUAAGACAUGCAAGUCGAACGAAGUGGCCCAACAAUAAUGGAGUGCUUGCACGAAAUUUGCGAUGGAAUUUCCACUUAGUGGCAGACGGGUGAGUAACACGUAAGUAAUCUACCUUAGAGACUGGAAUAAUGUUUGGAAACGAGCACUAAUACCGGAUGAUUCAUAUUUAGAUAACUAGAUAUGCUAAAAGAGCGUUUGCUUCACUUUAAGAUGAGCUUGCGGCGUAUUAACUAGUUGGUGGGGUAAUGGCCUACCAAGGUGACGAUGCGUAGCCGAACUGAGAGGUUGAUCGGCCACAUUGGGACUGAGACAC
rnacentral:rRNA from 1 species